rnacentral:rRNA from 1 species
UGAACGCUGGCGGCAGGCCUCUUUCAUGCAAGUCGAACGGUAACAUAAAAAAAGCUUGCUUUUCUUGAUGACGAGGGGCGGACGGGUGAGUAAAAUUUGGAAAACUACCUGAUAGAGGGGGACAACAGUUGGAAACGACUGCUAAUACCGCAUACAGCCUCAGGGUGAAAGAAGCGAUUCGCUAUCAAAUGUGCCCAAACGGGAUUAGCUAGUAGGUGAGGUAAAGGCUCACCUAGGCGACAAUCUCUAGCUGGUCUGAGAGGAUGAUCAGCCACAUUGGGACUGAGACACGGCCCAAACUCCUACGGGAGGCAGCAGUAGGGAAUAUUGCACAAGGGAGGAAACUCUGAUGCACCCAUGCCGCGGGUGUGAAGAAGGCCUUCGGGUUGUAAAGCACUUUCGGAGGGAAGGAAAAAAAUGACGUUCCCCUCAAAAGAAGCACCGGCUAACUCCGGG